GUCGUCUUAGCUCAGCUGGGAGAGCGUCAGACUGAAGAGUCAUCUGAAGGCCCCGUGUUCAAUCCACGGAGACGACA